rnacentral:miRNA from 1 species
CGGUAUUCCAGAGUUGAUAAUA